GCCUCGUUGGCGCAGUUGGCAGCGCGUCAGUCUCAUAAUCUGAAGGUCGUGAGUUCGACCCUCACACGAGGCA
rfam:Oryzias latipes DNA, chromosome14, strain: Hd-rR.